AGUGAACGCUGGCGGUAGGCCUAACACAUGCAAGUCGAACGGCAGCACAGUAAGAGCUUGCUCUUACGGGUGGCGAGUGGCGGACGGGUGAGGAAUACAUCGGAAUCUACUUUUUCGUGGGGGAUAACGUAGGGAAACUUACGCUAAUACCGCAUACGACCUACGGGUGAAAGCAGGGGAUCUUCGGACCUUGCGCGAUUGAAUGAGCCGAUGUCGGAUUAGCUAGUUGGCGGGGUAAAGGCCCACCAAGGCGACGAUCCGUAGCUGGUCUGAGAGGAUGAUCAGCCACACUGGAACUGAGACACGGUCCAGACUCCUACCGGAGGCAGCAGUGGGGAAUAAUGGACAAUGGGCGCAAGCCUGAUCCAGCCAUACCGCGUGGGUGAAGAAGGCCUUCGGGUUGUAAAGCCCUUUUGUUGGGAAAGAAAAGCAGCAGGUUAAUACCCCGCUGUUCUGACGGUACCCAAAGAAUAAGCACCGGCUAACUUCGUG
rnacentral:rRNA from 1 species